rnacentral:rRNA from 1 species
UGAUAUUAUAACACUUAAAUAUCCGCCAGAAAAUUACGAGCGAAAAGCUUAAAACUCAAAGGACUUGGCGGUGCUCCACAUCGACUUAGAGGAGCCUGUCCUAUAAUCGAUACUCCACGAUAAACCUCACCAAUCUUUGCCCAGCCUAUAUACCGCCGUCGUCAACCUACCUCAUGAGAGAAAAACAGUAAGUACAAAAGUUUAAUAACUAAAACGUCAGGUCAAGGUGUAGCUAAUAGAAUGGAAGAGAUGGGCUACAUUUUUUAAAAUAAAAUACACGGCAUGGUACUAUGAAACUCUUACCUAAAGGAGGAUUUAACAGUAAAACUAACAAGAAAGUUAAUUUUAAAU